rnacentral:rRNA from 1 species
AAUCAACGCUGGCGGCGUGCCUCAGACAUGCAAGUCGAACGCGAAAUUUCCCUUCGGGGAGAAAGUAGAGUGGCGCACGGGUGAGUAACACGUAGGUAAUUUGCCUUUGGGUGGGGAAUAACUCAGGGAAACUUGAGCUAAUACCGCAUAAUGCAGCGGCUCGACAUCGAGACAGUUGUUAAAGCGGGGGAUUGGAGCAAUCCGACCUCGCGCCUAAAGAGAAGCCUGCGGCAGAUUAGCUAGUUGGUAAGGUAAUGGCUUACCAAGGCGACGAUCUGUAACCGGCCUGAGAGGGCGGUCGGUCACACUGACACUGACAUACGGGUCAGACUCCUACGGGAGGCAGCAGUCGGGAAUUUUGGGCAAUGGGCGCAAGCCUGACCCAGCAACGCCGCGUGAAGGAUGAAAUUUUUCGGAAUGUAAACUUCGCAAGAACAGGAAGAAUAAGUGUGGGACAAUACCCCACAUGAUGACGGUACUGUUUGUAAGC